GGCCAGGUAGCCAAGUAGUAAGGCGGCGGUCUGCAAAACCGCUAGGCACGGGUGCAACUCCCGUCCUGGCCU
rnacentral:tRNA from 3 species